GGCCCACUUGGAAUAUUCUGGGUUUUCCAAUUCAAUAACAGAAUGGAUACACAGUAACAAAAAGGGAGUCUUCCCAAUUAACACACCCAGAAGUCUCACACGACACACACUGCCAUACACAUACUCUCACCGACAGGAACACACACUCUCACCGGCCGAAAAAUACACGCGCACAGUAAACGAAGAGCAACACAGUGAGAACGAAAGAGAGAGAAAUAACCAGAGAAAGAAUCGGAGAGAAAGAACAAUUGAGGAGAGGGGGUGUUUUCUCCGAUGAGUUUAGCCUGAGAAUCGCUGCCAAAAACCCUAAAAAAAACACGGUUGAGCCACUGUUCCGUCAAGACUCACCGGAAAACGAACACAUCAACCGUAUUUCGGCCAAACCCACAUCGAACAGCUUUCAUCUCUUAUUUUUUUAGUUUAAAUCUCGCCGGAAAACAUUUAUUCCGGCCACCAGAUCGUAUGAAUCGGUUGUUUUAGGUUGACUUCGGUUGAGUCUCGUCGAAAACUGUCACACAGGGGGUCUGUUUUUCCCUUUCAAGCUUCAAUUUUAACUUCGGGUUUCAUUUGUUAUUCGUGAAGUCUUGUUCGGAUUGGAUUUCGAGAUUUUUCCGUUGGAAUUGGUUUGUUGUGAGGUCGGAUUUGAGGUUUUUCGAGUGCGGUGUUAUCUCCAAUAUAUUGAAAUCGAUAUUUGAGAUCCAAUUCUAACUCUCUCUUUUCGUUUUGUUUGAUUUGGUGCAUUGAUGUAUGAUUGUGAGUUGUUGGGUUGUGAUUGGAUGAUCUGUUUGAGGUUCGAUAUUGUUUAUCUGUGAAUAAUUAAUCACGGUAUGAACCACUUUAUGUGAAAGUGAGUAUAAAAGGGAAUUUGAGGUGGAAUUGAGAAGUUGAUAAAAGAGUAAAUUUAGAUUAACUUUGGUUUAUUAUUAUUUUUCUUUAAUUCGGAAUGAGCAUGAAUAUUGUUGGAACAUGAUAGUAUCAUAAGAGGAUGAAAUUGGCAGGCAAAUGAUAGGCUGGGUAGGCAAAUUUGAGAAUAAUAAUUUGUUGAGUGUUUGAAGAUGUGUGUGAAUGAUUCAUUAUAUUUUAUCACAUAAAAAUUGAAAUUAUACUCGUUUGGCCAGGAAAUGCCCCGAGGGGUUUGUAUUGAUUUAUUCGAAGAAUGCUCCAAAGUAUCAUGUAUGCAGAGGAGGCUCGUGAUCAAGGUCCGAGGUAUCGGGUAAGGCAUUGGAGUGUAGUUUUAGGAUUUGCUUAGAAUAAGAUUUAUGUUUUUGCAUUUUUUUCUAUUUUUGGAUUGUAUAAUUGGACUGGACACUAUAUUUUGGAUUGGUUUUGUUUUGUGUGUUUGAUUGUUUUAUGUGUUGUGUAGUUUAUAC
rnacentral:lncRNA from 1 species